rnacentral:pre_miRNA from 1 species
AGAACGAGAUUCGGACCGUCGGUCUACCCAGCAAUAUCACCCGCUCGGUGGAAGAUUUUCCCUCCGUCGUUAUA